rnacentral:rRNA from 1 species
UGCGUAGGGCGCAAGCGUUAUCCGGAAUUAUUGGGCGUAAAGAGCUCGUAGGCGGUCUGUUGCGUCGGCUGUGAAAACCCGGGGCUCAACCCCGGGCCUGCAGCCGAUACGGGCAGACUAGAGUUCGGCAGGGGAGACUGGAAUUCCUGGUGUAGCGGUGAAAUGCGCAGAUAUCAGGAGGAACACCGGUGGCGAAGGCGGGUCUCUGGGCCGAUACUGACGCUGAGGAGCGAAAGCGUGGGGAGCGAACAGG